UUUUGAAGCUGAUCCAGAAAAAGUAGUGCAUGGCUCUCCAUCUUCUGCAUUCUGAGAAAAACAUUUCUCAACACUGCACCAAUUUUUAGCUGCCUGUCUGCAAGUUGUUGGAUUCUUCCAGAGUCUUCCAUGAGGAUGAGCACAAAACCAAAGGCUUGCAAUGGAGCAAGAUAAUUAAGCUUUCAAAAAUGUAUUGUUUAUGACAGCAUUCAAUAUUAUUCCUGUUAUAAUCUUCAUCAUGUUUGUUGUGUUGUAUGAGAUGUAACAUCCAUCCAACUCACUGUCUCACAAUCUUGAGCAUGUGCACAAUAACUUUCCAUUAAGUCACCCUUGUACAGAAAUCAUCCUCAGCGGAGAAGCAAUUUUCAAUGGACAUUUUCUCCUGAAACAACCUAACAACCUCUGUCCUAAAUUAGAUUGGUCAAUCGAUUCAGUGUCUGGAGAGAUGUAUUUACAACCACUGUAAGCAGUCUGCAAACCAUCAAGGACCUUUAACAAAAUUGCUUGCAAAGAGAUGGGGAAGCGAUGAUAGAGAUCGUCUUGCCAAUGUGGCCAGGCUAAAUUAUUUCAAAUGUCAAAGAUUUUGAUCUUUGUUAAGUAAUGUCAGGAAAUUUCAUUGGUGAUUUAAAAACAAACA